UCUUCGCUAGUAUAUCGGUUAGUAUAACCGCCUCUCAUUGGAGAGUUUUCUUCGGAAGCAUCGCGGUAGAGCAGGGUUCAACUCCCUGGCGGAGAA